GGGGAGAAACCAGCAGAAAUUCAGGGCAUCUGCCUCAACCAUUUUCCCACAAGCCACAGGGGCUUUGAUCACAGAAUUCCAUGGCCAACAGGACCUUCGAGGCCAAUUUGCUGUCUUUCCUCCCUGUCCAACUCCUGGGGCCAGUGGCAGAUGCAGCUGGACACCUGUCAUUGGAUUUAGGGCCCAACUGAAGAGUCCAGGAUGACACCAUCUCGAGAUCUUUAACUUAAUGACAAAACCUGAGGAACUUUUCAUCAAACUGUGGCCAGAGCAGAGGCCAGAGGUUGCCCACGCGGACAGCUCACUGGCGCCCUCCUGUGCAGCGCUGUGCCCAGCUCCCAUCUCAGCUGUCCCUUUUCCCAGGCAGUGUCCACCCCUUCCCUCUGUGCCCUCCAUGGUCUUCUGUGACCUGGGAUUUGUUGGUCAUUGGCAGAAACAGAAGGCACAGUGUUAUUAGUGUAAAAGGGAAAGUUGUCCCCUAACUGGCUCAACUGUCUGAAGACGCCCCCUGCUUUUUCUGCUCUUCCUUUGCGACUCAGCCUGGUCUUUCUUCUUCCAGGGUGGCAUCCCACCGACUCCUACGCAGCCCCACCCUGGUUCCCUCACUCCCAGGCUCCUGGUCCCUCGGAGUCACAGCGCUGAGUCCUCUGUAGCCCCUGCACACAGCGCAAGGCUGGACCCGCCCCACAGCAUAGGACAAACUGUUCCAGGCCUCUGGGAGGCCUCCUGGGCUUUCAUCUGCAUGAUUCAGAAAGAAUCUUUUUUCUCUUUCAAAUGUUAAUGUUUUUAAUUUCUUUUUUUUCAUUUUUCAUUAUAACUGCUAAGAUUUUUCUAAUUGGCAUCCCAACUGCUUGCAGACUUGACCUGCUUCUUGCAAAAAAAGAAAAUCACCUAAUCAUUAAUUACAAUUAUUACUUCAUUCUUCUAUCUCUUCAGUCUACCAAACUAUUAUAUACUCUUGACAAUUGUAGUUUUCGUCAAAAGAAAAAUGUAUCCAGAAUCCCAUAACACUUACAAAUUAAGUGUCUUAAUUCAUCAAGUUCUUUCAGGGCUUGCCAUAUGCGUGUAUUAUUCUUGCAUAUUGCACAUUCAUUUUCUAUUAUUUUGAAGACAUAAUUCUAAAAAGUAAGCAUUCUUCAUGAUACAUAUUUGUCUGAGAAUUUCUUA